rnacentral:rRNA from 1 species
GACGAACGCUGGCGGCGUGCUUAACACAUGCAAGUCGAACGGAAAGGCCCUGCUUUUGUGGGGUGCUCGAGUGGCGAACGGGUGAGUAACACGUGAGUAACCUGCCCUUGACUUUGGGAUAACUUCAGGAAACUGGGGCUAAUACCGGAUAGGAGCUCCUGCUGCAUGGUGGGGGUUGGAAAGUUUCGGCGGUUGGGGAUGGACUCGCGGGUUAUCAGCUUGUUGGUGGGGUAGUGGCUUACCAAGGGUUUGACGGGUAGCCGGCCUGAGAGGGUGACCGGCCACAAGGGGACUGAGAUACGGCCCAGACGCCUACGGGAGGCAACAGUGGGGAAUAUUGCACAAUGGGCGGAAGCCUGAUGCAGCAGCGCCGCGGGCGGGAUGACGGCCUUCGGGUUGUGAACCGCUUUCGCCUGUGACGAAGCGUGAGUGACGGUAAUGGGUAAAGAAGCACCGGCUAACUACGUG